rnacentral:tRNA from 1 species
GGGACCAUGGCGCAGCUGGUUAGCGCGCAGGUCUCAUAUUCUCACAUAUGAUCUGGUUGAACACUAGAGCAAUCCUGAGGUCGUGAGUUCGAUCCUCACUGGUCCCA